rnacentral:rRNA from 1 species
UACGGGGGGGAGCAAGCGUUGUUCGGAUUUACUGGGCGUAAAGGGCGCGUAGGCGGUCAGCACAAGUCAGUUGUGAAAUCUCCGGGCUUAACUCGGAAAGGUCAACUGAUACUGUGCGACUAGAGUGCAGAAGGGGCAACUGGAAUUCUCGGUGUAGCGGUGAAAUGCGUAGAUAUCGAGAGGAACACCUGCGGCGAAAGCGGCUUCCUGGUCCAGCACCGACGUUCAGGCACGAAAGCGUGGGGAGCAAACAGG